GAAAUCUUGAGAACCACUGACUUAUGUGGUCAGAAGUGAUCGACUCCCUGGGCUGGGAAGCUCCAAUUUUCUCCUCCAGAUUUCCUGUGUCGCCCUCUCCUCCCUGUCCUCUGCCCCAUUAGGGAGGAUGCAUGGAUUCCUUCAGCAAGCUCUUUGUCCUUCGGUUUCCAGUGAAAAGGCUGGCAUAGAAGCUGUCUGAAUCUAUGAAAUCAAAAAAGGAUCAAAGUAGAGACACAAAUUCCUCUGAACUUGAAAUUGAAAUGAGUGUGUUGCCAGCAUCUAUUCAUCCGCCUAAAACCAAGUAAAUCAUUUCAGAAGAAGUUUUCAGCAGUCUAUCAAAGUGACAAGAGUGGUGAGGUAGUAAAGUAGAAACGCAUUGACAACUUUAUUCCUAUUGACUGGAUAAAUAAUCUUCAUGACUCAAAGUGAUGAAACGCAUCAGAAAUAGAAGCAAAAUGUUCACGUUUCAGUCCGUGAGUAGGGCUUGAAUCCCACAGGAGGAAUUAAGAAAAAGAAGCGAACACUCGGAGGAUAACAUCGCAAUAUUACUUAGCCAUUAUUCUUUACAGUGUUAGGCCCCUUCCAGAGAUGUUUGACUGAUUUGUUGCUUGUCCACGUAGAUGCGUGAAUACACUAAAUAGUCAUCAAAUAUGGGUCAAGUAGUGUGCUGGUUGUUUUACGUAUGUUCUCCUUUAAUUUACCCAACAAUAUUGUGACAUAUCAUCAUUAUUUUAAGAAUGAGAAAGCUUAAAGUUAAUAGAGAUUAAAAAAUAAUUUUCCAACUCUCUAUAAUGAGCAGGUAGUAAGAUCAGAAUUCAUAUCUUCAUCUGUCAAAACCAAAGCCCAUAUUCUAAAUCACUUACAGUGAGUAAAAGGGGCUUCUUAAAACUUUAUAUGUAAGAAUGUAAUCUUAAAUGAGAAAACAAACUAGCUUUUAAACUAUGUGCUGUGACUUUUCUGACACAAUGUGUUUAUAAUUUUUUUCCACUUGACAAAAAAAGAACCACAUAUUAGACUAAUUGUGCUUAGGGUACAGAAUAUGAGCAUGUUUUGACUUAAAAUGUAAAAUAAAUAAUGAACUAAUAGUAGACACCCCAACCUGAUCAUAGAAAACUUUUGUUUUUAAUUUCUCUUGGUAGUCAGUCUUUGUGAAUGUGGAUUUAAGCCACCAAAUCCUUUACUAUGUAUUACUAAAACAUAAGGCAAGGAGAAAGCAUUCCCAUUUCUGAUGUAGCAGCCUCGGAUAAAAGAGGCUAGUGAGAGGCCUUAAUGUGAGUGUUCCAUAAUCUUUUGUGCCAUGAAUCCCUCUGUAGUCUGAAGAAGCUUUGGAACUCUUCUCAGAAUGAUGUUUUUAAAUGAAUAAAAUAAUAUACAUAGAAUUCCCAAGGAAACCAAUUGUAUUGAAAUGUAGUCAUCAAGAGUUUAUUUUAAUGUAAUACAGUAAUAUAUGACCUUCUCUAUUAAUGUGUUAAGUAACAACAUCUGUGGUAGGUAUAAUAACUGUUUGCAUUUGAAGUAGGGGUGAAUGCAAAAUGUAUUGCAAGAUCUGCAAUAAGUGUAAUGAGAUAUGAAAAAAAUAUGUGAUUUCUCUUGGUGAGAAAGUUGCAUGUACUGCUAGUAACCAUGUGACAUGGUACCUACCUUCAUAUUUGGAGGUAAUGAGAAUUUUGUUCUUAGAGUUCAAUAAAAAUGAAUAUGUACUUUUUUCCUGCCCAAGUUCACCCAGGGGUUUAAAGGAUUUUGUAUUAGAACGUCUUUUCUAAAGAAUAAGAGCUGGAGGUAACAGGGAGAAGGACCGUAGAAAUUUGAGACCUGGUCAGAGACUGGGGCUACUGUGACACAUAUUUUGCUUGUGCAAUUGCUUUUGAAAGUUACUGUAUUUUGGGGGAAAAG
rnacentral:lncRNA from 1 species